GCCCCCGUCGCGCGGCUGCGGGCUAGACUCGCCUUCCCAACAGAGAAAAGGCGCUGGUGCCAAGGGGCGCGGAGCGGCUGGCGCUGCCAGGAGUGAGAGAAAGGGAGAGGUCACCAGCUCGCGCCUAUCAUCUCUCCCUCCAACUCAAAAGCGCUAGGAGGGACGUGAUUGCGCCUCCCAGGCUUUAAGCACCCCAAGAACCGACUGCCCUUAGAAUAAAGGGAAUGAGGACAGCAUGGUCAGAAGUCUGAACAGAAUAUGAACAAAGCAGUGAAGCCUCAGAAACAAUAUGGGUGAAGAAUCAGCCAGAGAACUUCUUAACAAUAACAAACUCAGUUUACAAGAUACAGCUGUGGGAUUGGAGCCGCCAUAUUGCAAGGAGGUCAAAUCAUCAUAUAAAUGAGAACCAAUCAGAGAUAAGUGGAUAACAGAGCAGAAAGAUGGAGCCCUGGAUACAGAUAUCAUGGGACAGGCAUGCCAGCCUGGGAAUGCACUUUUCUGGACUUUACCCCUUUUAAAAAGGUACCGUGUGUCAUGCAUUUCCAUGUAAGUGCUGGACACACUCUGCCCUGAGGGCACUUCACACACACAUAAAUAACAAAAGGGUGAUCUGUAGCUUCCUGCCUCCAUGGAGAGUGCUUACUGUAAUUGAUGCCUCAUUUUUCCAUCUAACCUCAGGGCCUUUGCACAUCCACUGAGAUAAAAUGGAAGCCUCUCCCUUCACUAACCUAAGGCUGUCGUGUUUUUAUGGUCAAAUGUAGCACAAACAUAGGAAGUCAUUAUCUCCCAUCUUUGAAUCCAUCAUGAUGGAAAUCACAUAAAUAAGCACUUUGUUUUAAGUGUGCUAGUUAGGAUGCCCUGAGACUAAAAAAUACGAAAACUCAAAUGAUUACAUUUAAACACAAGCA
rnacentral:lncRNA from 1 species